rnacentral:rRNA from 1 species
AUUGAACGCUGGCGGCAGGCCUAACACAUGCAAGUCGAGCGAGCGGCGGACGGGUGAGUAAUGUAUCGGAAUCUGCCCGAUAGCGGGGGAUAACUACUGGAAACGGUGGCUACUACCGCAUACUAUCGGAUCAGCCUAUAUGGGAUUAGCUAGUAGGUGGGGUAAAGGCUCACCUAGGCGACGAUCCCUAGCUGGUCUGAGAGGAUGAUCAGCCACACUGGGACGGAGACACGGCCCAGACUCCUACGGGAGGCAGCAGUGGGGAAGAUUGCACAAUGGGCGCAAGCCUGAUGCAGCCAUGCCGCGUGUAUGAAGAAGGCCUUAGGGUUGUAAAGUACUUUCAGCGGGGAGGCGUUACCCGCAGAAGAAGCACCGGCUAACUCCGUGCCAGCAGCCGCGGUAAUAC